UCUCUAUCACUAUGCCAGAAAUUAGUUUUUUUGUUUUUCAGGUGGGCAUUCCCGUUGCCAAUUCUUGGAGAUUGUCCUCCUAUAGAGAAGUGUUUUUCAUACUUGUUAUAUUGGUGACCCCUUUCAGACAAAGGCUAUGGGCAUGCCCUGACCUUAUUUAUAUUAAAAAUGGGGGGGGGGAUUUAAUUUAAUGGGGCUCAGGGCUGUCAAGCCCACGGACUGACAGUUUACACCCCCCAUGUAACCACUUUCUGAUUCCUUAAGGGAUCAUGACCUCCAGUUUGAGAACCCCAGUGAGAUCUCAGUGCGUGGAGGAUCUUUUGGCUCUGACUAUUGUUACAUUCUGCCAGCCAGUAUCCCUUCCAAAAUGAUUGCUUUUAUUUCAGUGGUGUAAUGAGUCUUUCUUUUUCAGCAGCUCCAGACUGAUCCUGCAACACUUACUCAUACCACAGUUAACCCUUGCUCACUCCUGUCUGUCUCUUCUUCGAGCUAGAACUGAGAACGCAGGUUAAUUUCUUAAAUAUCAUCUCAUCAAGGCAUGUCAAGCCACUUGUUUGUAACAGCAAUGGACCUUUAUACUGCAAUUACAGAUGAAAUCCACCAGAUGGCUUAAGGAAAUGAAUUUCAUCACAAAGGCAACAAGGGAAGGAGAGAAGAAAACAAUACAAUUAUACACAUCAAGCAAUACAGAGUAUUUCCCAACAUCCAGUAUCUUAUGGGUCAUCAGCUAUCCCUUGAUACAAAGAUGAUGUCUGCUGUGGGAGUGGAGGAGAUAUACAUACUUGACAGAGACAUACACAUGAAAUCUUUUAAGGUAUGGGAGCUGGUGUGCACACCGCAAUCUUGUGAAACUUGACAAUAAGGAGCCCUUGACCUGGUGGCAUGGGAGUCUAAGAAAACCAUAAGUUUCCAUUCUGCUGCAAUGCCUCAUAUGCCUUCACAGGUUCUGAGAACAGACAAGUCCUCCAAUACAUGUUUAACCAUUGCGAAGCUUAGACUGCACUUCUUCUGGAACCACACCUCAGCACUGUUUGGCAGUGAUAACUCUACCAGGAACACAAGACUCAUAAGAACAGUCAUACUGAGUCAGACCAAAGGUCCAUCUAGCCCAGUAUUCUGUCUUCCAACAGUAGCCAAUGCCAGAUGCCCCAAAGGGACUGAACUGAACAGAGAAUC